ACUUAGCAACAAAGUAAACGUGAUAAAGGCAAUUUUAACAAAAAUAUAAGGUGGUCUGUAUUAGAUACAGCCCACCUGAUGAUGUAUUGAGAUAUGAACUGAUGAAUGAAGAAUAAUGGAUCAAGUGAUAAUAGUGUAAUAAUAAAGUAAAUAUGGUUGUUUAUUACAUUA